rnacentral:snoRNA from 1 species
UUGACUAUGCUUUCAGGGGUCAUUUCUCUAGUUGGCGACUGGAGAAGGGUGGCUGUGAAAAGCUGAUCUUGCUAAUCACAAUGAGGAGUUAUAGCAUUUCCUUCUGAACAUGAAAAUGGCAGAGACUGCUGUUCCAUGUCAGCUGCUUUCUGCUGUGGAAGAGUGUCUUGCUCUUCCUGAGAAGAGUGGGGGAAGGGUGCAUAGUCUGAGUGGU